CUUUCUGUCUGGGAAAAUGAAAAAGGAAAAGAAUUUUUAUUUUAACGUCAGAGAGGUAUCCCUUAAUUUUAUCAUAAUGUCAUACUGUCUUUCUUUCUCCUCGGGCAGGUGGCUUUGUCAGGGCCGAGACUUGGUUUUCCUGCCUGUUAGGCCAAGAAAGCUGUCCAUAAGGGCCUGGGCGAUGCCACUCCCGAGGACCCGGUGAUCUGUCCUGUGAAGAGCCUCCCCAGCUUCUCCUUGAGCAAGGUCUGCAGGAUAUGUCGGUUUAACAUCUAUCAGCAGAGCUGGGGGAGUACAAAUCUCCACGGAUUUGACAGUUACCAGAUCGCCGAGGGCUUGGGUUCCUCAUCUGUCAUUGGGGACUCCUCCUGAGGACAAUAUGAAGAUGAACGAGCCGGCUGCUGACGGAGCGCCUGGCCCCCACGGGGAAAUUUGGACACAGACAUGAGCCCAGGGAGAACGCCACGUGAGGAUGAAGGUAGCGGUCAGGGUGAGGCGCCAGCAAGCCACCGGCACAUGGGACAGGGCAUGGGACAGAUUCUCCCUCAUGGCCUUCAAAAGACACCAGCCUCUCCAGUACCUUGGUCUCGGACUUCCAGCCUCCAGAACUGGGAGACAGACUUGUUUUUUAAGUCUCCUUGGCUAGCUGUGCUUUGUUACGGCAGCCCUAGCCAUCUACUACGGGCCCCUCGGAGGAUCUCUUAGGCCAGGAGAACAAUUCAGCCACAAGUUCAGGACAAGGGGAAGCAUUUGUGUGCUUUCCUAUCCCUGACUCCAAGCAAGCCCAGCCAGCCCUCUUUCUUGCCUGCCUGAAUUUGGAUGAGUGAACCAAUGAAUGCAUUGGAAAGCUGGAGGUGUGACUUCACUCUCAAUGGUGGCCGAACCCAUUGAGGUCAAGGCCAGUGAAUGAGUCAUCUGUGCGAUGUGGCUCAGUGAGUCAGGGAGGGCCAGGAAGAAAGCCCAAGUUUGGGGCCCAUUUUCUCUUCCCUUUCCUUUGGAACCUAAAAUCGGCCCCCUAAAAUUCAUCAACCCAAGAAAUAAACAGAGAAAUAGUGUAACACACCACCCCGAUGACACACCCACUGUGUGCUGGGGAAAGAUAAGGACAAAGGACUUAGAAAACAGAGAGAAUGAGUAUGAGGCACCCAGCUGUGCCACUUACUUGCUGUGUGCCUUUGCAUAAGUUUGUGAACUUCUCUGGGCCUGGGUUCUUUUAUUUCUUCCCAUGGGGGUAGUAGUCGUGUCUGUCUGACAGGGUUAUGUCGCGGCCAUACAAGAAAAUGAAUAUAAAGCACUUGGCAAAGGGCCAGGCUCAGCGCAAGUGCUCAGAGAUUGGCAAUGAUUAUUAGUGAGAACGGCCCCUAAGUAAUUUACCCACAAAAGCAAAACCGUGACCCACAGUUCUUGAGUCUUCACCUGUGACUUUGAACGCCCUGGAGAUGACUCUUCCCCCUCCUUCCUUAGGGAAGUUUGGAACAGACCAACCGUGAUCUCAUUUGCUCCCUCUACCAUUAAUUAGUGUUUUCUAAUUAUGAAAAGGAAAUUAUGUCUCAAUUCGUACUGGUCUAAAAGAAAUUAACUAACAACAGAAAGGUGUCAUUUCUCUCUGUGGCGUCAGUUCCCCUGGCGGCCUGGGGUGUGGCUCGGGGCUGUGUUGGCAGGCUGUGUCCUUGGUUCAGGGACAAGCCUGUCUGAGUCAUGGAGGCCCUGCUACUUCCUGGUCCCUCUCCUGGGUUCCUGGGCUCAUCUUCAUGUCUUUGUUCAACAAAACUGCUUUGAGGUUUGUGCCGGGGACCAAGAGAGGCAAGAAACCACGUCCCUGAUCCCAAGCCUAGUGGGAAAGACAGAAAUGGUCAGCAAUGAGACUGUUCACAUAAGAUGCUAGGGCUUCACCUGGUCCCAAAGCAAAUCUGAGAGUUGGUCUCUUGAGGUUAUUGCUGUCCCAUUUUACAGGGGAGGAAACUGAGGCUCCCAGAGGAAAGUGGUCAAUAAUCAAAGCCCAUGUCUCAGAGGCAUUUCAUCUAGAU